GGGGAAUAUUGCACAAUGGGGGAAACCCUGAUGCAGCGACGCCGCGUGGAGGAAGAAGGUCUUCGGAUUGUAAACUCCUGUUGUUGAGGAAGAUAAUGACGGUACUCAACAAGGAAGUGACGGCUAACUACGUGCCAGCAGCCGCGGUAAAACGUAGGUCACAAGCGUUGUCCGGAAUUACUGGGUGUAAAGGGAGCGCAGGCGGGAAGACAAGUUGGAAAUGAAAUCUAUGGGCUCAACCCAUAAACUGCUUUCAAAACUGUUUUUCUUGAGUAGUGCAGAGGUAGGCGGAAUUCCCGGUGUAGCGGUGGAAUGCGUAGAUAUCGGGAGGAACACCAGUGGCGAAGGCGGCCUACUGGGCACCAACUGACGCUGAGGCUCGAAAGUGUGGGUAGCAAACAGGAUUAGAUACCCUGGUAGUCCACACCGUAAACGAUGAUUACUAGGUGUUGGAGGAUUGACCCCUUCAGUGCCGCAGUUAACACAAUAAGUAAUCCACCUGGGGAGUACGACCGCAAGGUUGAAACUCAAAGGAAUUGACGGGGGCCCGCACAAGCAGUGGAGUAUGUGGUUUAAUUCGACGCAACGCGAAGAACCUUACCAAGUCUUGACAUCCUGCGACGAUGCUGGAAACAGCAUUUUCCUUCGGGACGCAGAGACAGGUGGUGCAUGGUUGUCGUCAGCUCGUGUCGUGAGAUGUUGGGUUAAGUCCCGCAACGAGCGCAACCCUUACUGUCAGUUACUACGCAAGAGGACUCUGGCAGGACUGCCGUUGACAAAACGGAGGAAGGUGGGGAUGACGUCAAAUCAUCAUGCCCUUUAUGACUUGGGCUACACACGUACUACAAUGGCGUUAAACAAAGAGAAGCAAGACCGCGAGGUGGAGCAAAACUCAGAAACAACGUCCCAGUUCGGACUGCAGGCUGCAACUCGCCUGCAUGAAGUCGGAAUUGCUAGUAAUCGCGGAUCAGCAUGCCGCGGUGAAUACGUUCCCG
rnacentral:rRNA from 1 species